rnacentral:rRNA from 1 species
AGAGUUUGAUCCUGGCUCAGGACGAACGCUGGCGGCGUGCCUAAUACAUGCAAGUCGAGCGGGUUUAUCCUUCGGGGUAAGCUAGCGGCGGACGGGUGAGUAACACGUAGGUAACCUGCCUAUAAGAUCGGGAUAACUAUCGGAAACGAUAGCUAAGACCGGAUAAUUGGUUUUCUCGCAUGAGAGAAUUAUGAAACACGGAGCAAUCUGUGGCUUAUAGAUGGGCCUGCGGCGCAUUAGCUAGUUGGUAGGGUAACGGCCUACCAAGGCGACGAUGCGUAGCCGACCUGAGAGGGUGAACGGCCACACUGGGACUGAGACACGGCCCAGACUCCUACGGGAGGCAGCAGUAGGGAAUCUUCCGCAAUGGACGCAAGUCUGACGGAGCAACGCCGCGUGAGUGAUGAAGGUUUUCGGAUCGUAAAGCUCUGUUGCCCUAGACGAACAGCAAGGAGAGUAACUGCUCUUUGUGUGACGGUAUAGGAGAAGAAAGCCCCGGCUAACUACGUGCCAGCAGCCGCGGUAAUACGUAGGGGGCAAGCGUUGUCCGGAAUUAUUGGGCGUAAAGCGCGCGCAGGCGGUCAAUUAAGUUGGGUGUUUAAGCCCGGGGCUCAACCCCGGUUCGCAUCCAAAACUGGUUGACUUGAGUGUAGGAGAGGAAAGUGGAAUUCCACGUGUAGCGGUGAAAUGCGUAGAGAUGUGGAGGAACACCAGUGGCGAAGGCGACUUUCUGGCCUAUAACUGACGCUGAGGCGCGAAAGCGUGGGGAGCAAACAGGAUUAGAUACCCUGGUAGUCCACGCCGUAAACGAUGCAUACUAGGUGUUGGGGAUUCGAUUCCUCGGUGCCGAAGUUAACACAGUAAGUAUGCCGCCUGGGGAGUACGCUCGCAAGAGUGAAACUCAAAGGAAUUGACGG